UUCCAAUUUCUCUCUCAUCACUAUCAAAAGGCUCUAUGUUAUUCAGCAUCAUAAAAGAAGGAAAUCCUGCCAUAUUCGAAACACAGACGAACCUCACGGACAUUAUGCUAAGGGAAAUGAACUAGUCACAGAAAGAAGCGUCCUUGUUCACAGAAAGAUGAUCCCACUUAUAUGAGCUCUGUCAUUUGUUAUCUCCAAGUUGAGACCUGGCUCCAAGCUGCCUUGGCCCAGAAGUGGGGCACGACACUUUUGUUUACCAUCCAUUGGUCAGAACUAGACAUGAUGCAAGCCCAAGCAAUCACAGGAAGGAUGGGAAGGAGAGGGGAGAAUGUGAAUAUUCAGUGCAGAGGGUUGUUCCAUGAGAUGAGCCUUUCCUUCUCUCUUACUUCCAAAUGUGUUUUUGAGAACUGAAAUUCACACACGAGGUAGGCUCUGGAGACAAGAACAUGACAACAUUUUGGCAGCUGGGACUGUAGCCAUGUGUGAGGAGAAAGUGAUUUGCAUGAGCAAUGCAAAACCACCUGGUUUAUUGCAACUGAAUCUGAACAAGUUAAGUGAAUCAAAUUCCCAGUUGGAUACCAGAAGCA